AGGUUACUGCUAUCGGUGUUCGCCUAAGCCAUGCGAGUCAUAUGUUCUUCGUGAACAUGGCGUACUGCUCAGUAACACGUGGAUAACCUGCCCUUGGGUCCGGCAUAACCCCGGGAAACUGGGAAUAAUUCCGGAUAACGCACAUAUGCUGGAAUGCUUUAUGCGUCAAAUGGAUUCGUCCGCCCAAGGAUGGGUCUGCGGCCUAUCAGGUAGUAGUGGGUGUAAUGUACCUACUAGCCUACGACGGGUACGGGUUGUGAGAGCAAGAGCCCGGAGAUGGAUUCUGAGACAUGAAUCCAGGCCCUACGGGGCGCAGCAGGCGCGAAAACUUUACAAUGCGGGAAACCGUGAUAAGGGGACACCGAGUGCCAGCAUCAUAUGCUGGCUGUCCGGGUGUGUAAAAUACACCUGUUAGCAAGGGCCGGGCAAGACCGGUGCCAGCCGCCGCGGUAACACCGGCGGCCCGAGUGGUGAUCGUAAUUAUUGGGUCUAAAGGGUCCGUAGCCGGUUUGGUCAGUCCUCCGGGAAAUCUGACGGCUUAACCGUUAGGCUUUCGGGGGAUACUGCCAGACUUGGAACCGGGAGAGGUAAGAGGUACUACAGGGGUAGGAGUGAAAUCUUGUAAUCCCUGUGGGACCACCUGUGGCGAAGGCGUCUUACCAGAACGGGUUCGACGGUGAGGGACGAAAGCUGGGGGCACGAACCGGAUUAGAUACCCGGGUAGUCCCAGCCGUAAACGAUGCUCGCUAGGUGUCAGGCAUGGCGCGACCGUGUCUGGUGCCGCAGGGAAGCCGUGAAGCGAGCCACCUGGGGAAGUACGGCCGCAAGGCUGAAACUUAA
rnacentral:rRNA from 1 species